ACCUCAGCCUCCUAAAGUGCUGGGAUUACAGGCGUGCGCCGCCGCACCUGGCCAGUGAUAUUUUUAUUUACCUAUAAUACAAAUGAAAGUUUGAGAUUAAAAAGAACCAGGCAACUUAUGAGAUGACUUGCUGAAAAAGAUGGUGAACCUCUGAUAGCCAUCACCUAGACUUCAAUUCUGUUUAGUAAAAUGGAGAGAAGGAUCGUUUUAAUGCUUACUAAGAUACCUUUCUAAAAUAAAAAUCAUGGCCCUCUCACGUUCUUAAGAUUCACUGUUAAUAGUAGUUUUUCUGGGGGAAAUGGUUAACUUUUUCUGACAUCAAUUGUAAAAUGUGUUUCCUCUUUGGGAACUGUUGAAUGAUGCAGCGUGGGGGUAAGGUGGAACCACAUCUUGGAACUGGGAAACUACCAUGUACAAAUCCAGUGUUAGAAAAUGACUCUUGGCUGGGUGCGGUGGCUCAUGCCUGUAAUCCCAGCACUUUGGGAGGCCGAGGCAGGCAGAUCAUGAGGUCAGGAGUUUGAGACCAGCUUGGCCAACAUAGUGAAACCCCGUCUCUACUAAAAAUACAAAAAAUUAGCCAGGCGUCGUGGCGGGCACCUGUAAUCCCAGCUACUUGGAAGGCUGAGGCAGGAGAAUCACUUGAACCCAGGAGGCGAAGGUUGCAGUGAGCCGAGAUGGCGCCAUGGCACUCCAGCCUGGACGACAGAGCAAGACUCUGUCUCAAAAAUAAAAAAAGAAAAAAAAAAAAGAAAAUGAUUCUCCACUGGGUUCUGUUAAUGGUAGGUGUUUUGACUAACAUAUCAGCUUUCAGAAACUCAUUUGAGAUUCAACCAGUCAUCAUUGGAGAGGGUACAGCCACUGUUAGUCACUAUGUUAUACAACAAUAUACACUAAUUAUGCUUUCUCUUGGUGAGUUGUACGGCUCACAUAUUUAAAACAAGCUUUUGUGUUGUCCCACCUUGAUUUUAAUCCCUUUAACAUUUCAACCUAAGUAACUCAUUAAGUCUACCAAAAGUAUAAGGUGUGGCUAUAAUUUUAUGAGACUAAUUUUCUUGUAAACAGGCAUUGAUGCCACAUAAAUAGUAAUCUGAAAAAAUGCUUUGAACAAUGAAAUCAUGGCUGUGCUUUCAGUACUAUACUUUGAAAAAAUCCAUUUGGCUGUGUAAAUUCUAUUUUUUAAAGUCUCACUGUUUCAUCAUCACAGUUUUAAUGUCUAUUUUAGCAUUUUUUUUCUUGCUACUAUUUGACAUGGCAUAACACACUUUAACUCCUGAAAGACAGAGAACCCUGUCAUUGAUACUGAUGUUAUUCAAUGUUUUAGUGAAAAUCACCAACUGUAGCUGCUGCGGGAUUAACCAACACAACUAGUUGACAGCAUGGGCUUUGCGAUUAAACCAACUUGGGUUCUAGUUCUCAGUUCCACUGUCUUUCCCUGUGUAACCUAGAGAAGCUAUUUGUUUUCUGGAUAUAUCGGAAGAAUGGGCAUAAGGAUGGAACCUAUGCCAUAGGGUUGCUGGGGACUGAGCGAAGUAGGUUUCAGGUGUUGAGCACACUGCCUGUCAUCUAUAGGCCAAUUGUGAAGGAAGCCCCCAGUAACCUGUGUUCAUCGGGUUACAGAUGACAGCCCUGAACAUGUGACAGCAGCGGGGAAUAGGCUGAAGAUUCAGAAGAGGACUGAGUGUUGGAAAAUUUACAGUGCCUGCCCCUUCCCAAUUAACCAUGGCCUCCUUGAGACUCUGCACCUCCUUGACAUCCUCAUCCCUGCCAGCUAAAGAUCUCAUCACCCAGUCUGAGAGAUGCUAUUCUAAGGAGCAAAGGCCUGGGGAAGAACAGAGACAAUCUAAACAAAUCUGAGUAUAAAAGUUGCAGUGGCCACGAUAUUGUCUUUCGUUCAGAUUGAAAGCACUUGAAAGCCGGGUGGUUUUCGUAAGGGCUGCCUGGAUGGGUUUGCACUCUCUAGGACCAGGCACUGAGGAAAGAUCAGCCCCAGCUAAUUGGAACAUGAGAAGCAAAGCAGGCACAGCCUAUACCAGAUGCCAGCAUGUGGCGAGCAGAUGAGAUUGCUCACAAAGCACCUCUGAGCUUUGGUGAGCCCUGCAGUGAGCAUUGCACAGUCCUGGCUUUGUGCAGCGCUGAGGGCUGUCUCCAGAGCUGAGCCUGGAGGGCAGGUGAGACUCUAAAGCCAUUGUUGCUGUCCUCCAGUUGAGCAGUGGGAGUCUGAACUAACUUUGAAAGGACCUGUAAUGACAACCAGGCCAACCUGUGGGCUCUGUUUUACUGUGGUUGCCUCAUACAUCUUCCUGUUGGGGGAAAAAAAAAUCACUAUGGUGUAGAAUAUAAUUCAGUGAUUCUACUGAUUUCAGAUUCCAAGGCAAGUUAUAGAUGGAGAAGAGAAAAUGACUAGUAUACAAAUUCCACUGUGACUACAGAGAAAACCGUUAAGAUGAUGUAUGAUGACCUCUAUUUGUAUGCAGUAUUCUCAUUCCAUCUGGCAAAUACAUUUUCUACCAAUUUCUCCCACUUAGUGGGGAUCAAAAAUUUAAUAAUUUAGCUGGUAACAUCCCAAGCUAUUAUACAUUAAGAAAAAUACUUAUAUGAACACAUCAGUGUAGAUGACCCAAUAAAAUCCAAACUCUGCCCCUUUUGUACAAGUACUUCCAUGAUCCUGACUCCAAAACAGAGUGCUUAGUCCUGUUACCAACUGCUUCCCUAGGCAGAAAUAUGCUCACAUGUUCUGUGGCUACAAGGCAGUACAUAAACAAGAUACUUUUUGCACUGGACAAAACAUGUUUUCUAACACAUUAUAAAACAAUUCAAGGGGAAAUUAAUUUACUAGUCACUUCCUGUCAGGCUUCUCUCUCCUUUACCUCUCACAUACCCUGGCAGAGGUCUGUGACACCUUAGCCCAUGAGGAAGUGUGCCCAGAGGGGUUUAGUGUGCUGUUCCCAACAGUGGGAUGAGUAGAUUUUGUCCAGCUCUGUGGACUCUAAACCAGGGCUUUCUCCGCUGGGCCACCUCCUUCCUAAUAUAACCUGUUUUAAGUCCCAAUUACCAUCCAGGGAAAAGGACCCUUGCACAUUGUAACAAAUACAGACAGUAGGCAUUUCUUAUAUGCCUACAGUAGACAGACAAUACAAAACAUUUUUCUGGCGUCCAGUUAUUUGAGCAUAGCCCAUUAGAAAGUGCUCAGUAAAAAUGUACUGAAUGAAGGCAACUGUUAUUUAACACCAGUUUACUGUGGAUGAACCAUGUUAUAAACAAACAUUAGCACUGCUUCUUCAAUAAAGGCAAAUAGACAGUUUU